UAGUAUGGUAGAAAGAUUCA
rnacentral:miRNA from 1 species